UUGACCUCGAAUCAGGUAGGGAAUAC
rnacentral:rRNA from 1 species